rnacentral:rRNA from 1 species
GAUGAACGCUGGCGGCGUGCCUAAUACAUGCAAGUCGAGCGAACAGAUAAGGAGCUUGCUCCUUUGACGUUAGCGGCGGACGGGUGAGUAACACGUGGGUAACCUACCUAUAAGACUGGGAUAACUUCGGGAAACCGGAGCUAAUACCGGAUAACAUUUGGAACCGCAUGGUUCUAAAGUGAUAGAUGGUUUUGCUAUCACUUAUAGAUGGACCCGCGCCGUAUUAGCUAGUUGGUAAGGUAACGGCUUACCAAGGCGACGAUACGUAGCCGACCUGAGAGGGUGAUCGGCCACACUGGAACUGAGACACGGUCCAGACUCCUACGGGAGGCAGCAGUAGGGAAUAUUCGGCAAUAGGCGAAAGCCUGACGGAGCAACGCCGCGUGAGUGAUGAAGGGUUUCGGCUCGUAAAACUCUGUUAUUAGGGAAGAACAAAUGUGUAAGUAACUGUGCACGUCUUGACGGUACCUAAUCAGAAAGCCACGGCUAACUACGUG